GAUGAACGCUGGCGGCGUGCCUAAUACAUGCAAGUCGAGCGAAUGGAUUAAGAGCUUGCUCUUAUGAAGUUAGCGGCGGACGGGUGAGUAACACGUGGGUAACCUGCCCAUAAGACUGGGAUAACUCCGGGAAACCGGGGCUAAUACCGGAUAACAUUUUGAACCGCAUGGUUCGAAAUUGAAAGGCGGCUUCGGCUGUCACUUAUGGAUGGACCCGCGUCGCAUUAGCUAGUUGGUGAGGUAACGGAUCACCAAGGCAACGAUGCGUAGCCGACCUGACAGGGUGAUCGGCCACACUGGGACUGGGACACGGCCCAGACUCCUACGGGAGGCAGAAGUAGGGAAGCUUCCGCGAUGGACGAAAGUCUGACGGAGCAACGCCGCGUGAGUGAUGAAGGCUUUCGGGUCGUAAAACUCUGUUGUUAGGGAAGAACAAGUGCUAGUUGAAUAAGCUGGCACCUUGACGGUACCUAACCAGAAAGCCACGGCUAACUACGUGCCAGCAGCCGCCGUAA
rnacentral:rRNA from 1 species